rnacentral:rRNA from 1 species
AUUGAACGCUGGCGGCAUGCCUUACACAUGCAAGUCGAACGGUAACGGGCCUUCGGGUGCCGACGAGUGGCGAACGGGUGGGUAAUGUAUCGGAACGUACCUUUCAGUGGGGGAUAACGUAGCGAAAGUUACGCUAAUACCGCAUAUUCUGCGAGCAGGAAAGCAGGGGAUCGCAAGACCUUGCGCUGAUUGAGCGGCCGAUAUCAGAUUAGCUAGUUGGUGAGGUAAAGGCUCACCAAGGCGACGAUCUGUAGCGGGUCUGAGAGGAUGAUCCGCCACACUGGAACUGAGACACGGUCCAGACUCCUACGGGAGGCAGCAGUGGGGAAUUUUGGACAAUGGGGGCAACCCUGAUCCAGCCAUGCCGCGUGAGUGAAGAAGGCCUUCGGGUUGUAAAGCUCUUUCGGCCGGGAAGAAAUCGUAUGGGUUAAUACCCUGUGCGGAUGACGGUACCGGCAUAAGAAGCACCGGCUAACUACGUGCCAGCCGCCGCCGUAAAAC